rnacentral:rRNA from 1 species
CGAGCCUGAUGCGCCAUGCCGCGUGUAUGAAGAAGGCCUUCGGGUUGUAAAGUACUUUCAGUUGUGAGGAAGGGGGUAGCGUUAAUAGCGCUAUCUCUUGACGUUAGCAACAGAAGAAGCACCGGCUAACUCCGUGCCAGCAGCCGCGGUAAUACGGAGGGUGCGAGCGUUAAUCGGAAUUACUGGGCGUAAAGCGCAUGCAGGUGGUUCAUUAAGUCAGAUGUGAAAGCCCGGGGCUCAACCUCGGAACUGCAUUUGAAACUGGUGAACUAGAGUACUGUAGAGGGGGGUAGAAUUUCAGGUGUAGCGGUGAAAUGCGUAGAGAUCUGAAGGAAUACCAGUGGCGAAGGCGGCCCCCUGGACAGAUACUGACACUCAGAUGCGAAAGCGUGGGGAGCAAACAGGAUUAGAUACCCUGGUAGUCCACGCCGUAAACGAUGUCUACUUGGAGGUUGUGGCCUUGAGCCGUGGCUUUCGGAGCUAACGCGUUAAGUAGACCGCCUGGGGAGUACGGUCGCAAGAUUAAAACUCAAAUGAAUUGACGGGGGCCCGCACAAGCGGUGGAGCAUGUGGUUUAAUUCGAUGCAACGCGAAGAACCUUACCUACUCUUGACAUCCAGAGAAUCCAGCGGAGACGCAGGAGUGCCUUCGGGAGCUCUGAGACAGGUGCUGCAUGGCUGUCGUCAGCUCGUGUUGUGAAAUGUUGGGUUAAGUCCCGCAACGAGCGCAACCCUUAUCCUUGUUUGCCAGCGAGUAAUGUCGGGAACUCCAGGGAGACUGCCGGUGAUAAACCGGAGGAAGGUGGGGACGACGUCAAGUCAUCAUGGCCCUUACGAGUAGGGCUACACACGUGCUACAAUGGCGCAUACAGAGGGCAGCAAGCUAGCGAUAGUGAGCGAAUCCCAAAAAGUGCGUCGUAGUCCGGAUUGGAGUCUGCAACUCGACUCCAUGAAGUCGGAAUCGCUAGUAAUCGUAGAUCAGAAUGCUACGGUGAAUACGUUCCCGGGCCUUGUACACACCGCCCGUCACACCAUGGGAGUGGGCUGCAAAAGAAGUGGGUAGUUUAACCUUUCGGGGAGGACGUCCCACUUUGGGGUUCAGGAUGGGGGACGUCU